UACGGAGGGGGCUAGCGUUGUUCGGAAUUCUGGGCGUAAAGCGCACGUAGGCGGCUUUGUAAGUUAGAGGUGAAAGCCCGGGGCUCAACUCCGGAAUUGCCUUUAAGACUGCAUCGCUAGAAUUGUGGAGAGGUAAGUGGAAUUCCGAGUGUAGAGGUGAAAUUCGUAGAUAUUCGGAAGAACACCAGUGGCGAAGGCGACUUACUGGACACAUAUUGACGCUGAGGUGCGAAAGCGUGGGGAGCAAACAGG
rnacentral:rRNA from 1 species